UACGGAGGGUGCAAGCAUUGAUCGGAAUUACUGGGUGUAAAGGGCGCGUAGGCGGCUUAAAAAGUCAGAUGUGAAAUUCCGGGGCUCAACCCCGGAGCUGCAUUUGAAACUUUUAGACUAGAGGUUAGUAAGGGAAAACGGAAUUCCACGUGUAGCGGUGAAAUGCGUAGAUAUGUGGAAGAACACCGGUGGUGAAGACGGUUUUCUGUGCUAAACCUGACGCUGAGGCGCGAAAGCUAGGGGAGCAAACAGG
rnacentral:rRNA from 1 species